UAUUGUUCUCCUUUUUCGCGAAGAAGAACCAUGAAAGGAGAAGUCCCACACAGGGAGCAGGAAAAGAAUCACGGGCCAGAGCAGGAGACAAAAGAGGAGGCUAGACAGCGUUUCAAAGCAUACCUUUCUCGGCCUUUUGGCUAAGAUCAAGUGUAGUAUCUGUUCUUAUCAGUUUAAUAUCUGAUACGUGGGCCAUCGGUCCACAUGAUAUUAAAUUAAUUUUUGUAGGGGGAGAGGCCAUCACGGUAGCUUGCUACUGGGCCUCUCGCGAGUCGCUCGGGCGUUGCACUACAGCCCUUGCCUGGCGCACCCCACCAAAGCCCAGUGCAAGAAUUUGAUUGUG